rnacentral:rRNA from 1 species
AUUGAACGCUGGCGGCAUGCCUUACACAUGCAAGUCGAACGGUAACGGGUCCUUCGGGAUGCCGACGAGUGGCGAACGGGUGAGUAAUACAUCGGAACGUGCCCAGUAGUGGGGGAUAACUGCUCGAAAGAGCAGCUAAUACCGCAUACGACCUGAGGGUGAAAGGGGGGGAUCGCAAGACCUCUCGCUAUUGGAGCGGCCGAUAUCAGAUUAGCUAGUUGGUGGGGUAAAGGCCUACCAAGGCAACGAUCUGUAGUUGGUCUGAGAGGACGACCCGCCACACUGGGACUGAGACACGGCCCAGACUCCUACGGGGGGCAGCAGUGGGGGAAUUUUGAACAUGGGCGCAAGCCUGGUCCAGCAAUGCCGCGUGCAGGAAGAAGGCCUUCGGGUUGUAAACUGCUUUUGUCAGGGAAGAAAUCUUCUGGGCUAAUACCCCGGGAGGAUGACGGUACCUGAAGAAUAAGCACCGGCUAACUACGUGCCAGCCGCCGCAGUAA